rnacentral:misc_RNA from 1 species
GGGGCUGUCUCUUCRCUCUCCCUCCAGUCAUGAAAUAUGUUGUGGUUGGGAUGCUUGUGAUCGGUUGCCUGUGCGGUUCUACCCUCUUGGGGGUAGCAAAGUCGUCCCUUGAUGGAUAUUUGCUUGCCUUUCCGACAUAUUUGUCGUUCGGGCAGCCGAAAUGUUGGCGAAAUCCUUGUGUUGGUGCGUGGUCGGAUGCUGUGUUGCUAUCACUUGGAUUUUUGUCGGCUCUCACGGAUGCGGUGCCUAUUGCUAUCUCUGCGGGACUUUGCCCCGCAGACUUCGGGAGGUCCCUUGUACGAAUCAUUGCUCUUAUACGCCGUUUGUCGUGUUGCCGGUGGCGACACGCAGAUCGUGUUCUGCCGUGUUGUUGUUAACAACAUGCCAGAACAAAGUGUCCGGAGCGUGCUCGCGUGCAUGCGGACUGCCUCUCGUUCGUAGGAGCAGCGAUUUCCGGUUCGCGUCACGCGAAGGCCCGCCUGUUCGGGCUGGUGCCGGAGCUGACGCGCCGGCUCUA